UACGGAGGGAGCUAGCGUUGUUCGGAAAUACUGGGCGUAAAGCGCACGUAGGCGGCGCAGCAAGUCAGGGGUGAAAUCCCGGGGCUCAACCUCGGAACUGCCCUUGAAACUGCAGUGCUAGAAUCUUGGAGAGGCGAGUGGAAUUCCGAGUGUAGAGGUGAAAUUCGUAGAUAUCGGAAGGAACACCGGUGGCGAAAGCGGCGCGCUGGACCUCUUCUGACGCUGAGGCGCGAAAGCCAGGGGAGCGAACGGG
rnacentral:rRNA from 1 species